CUGGCCAAAGCUGAGUCAGCAAGCAAUGCUAGUUGGACCUCUGUGACAGCAGAUUUGAGAAAGGGUAAAAACUGCUGUGCAAUAGCUGGGAGAGAGAAGUGAGGAAAACGUAGAAAGAAACAGUCCUGCAGACACCAAGGUCAGUGAAGAAAGAGGGGGAGGAGGUGCUGCAGGUGCUGGAGCAGAAUUUCCCCUACAGCCCAUGAAAGAGACCAAGCUGAGUCCCUAUUACCUGUGACAGUAACUGUGGAUCUCUCAGUAAGGGAUGACCUCAGACAAGGAUGAUGAGGAGAUGAAGAAAGUGACACUGGUUGCGGCACCAAAACCUUAAGGUUGCAUCUGAGAUCUUUAGAUGAUGAGUAAAAUGGUUUUACAACAUCUCAUGGAGGAGUGACAUCUUUCAAAACUGAAGAUUUGAGAAAGGAGAAUGAGUACAUGACAGUGCAAACCUUCAACUUUUUUGUCUGCAGGAAGAAAAUUCAGACGUGCAUAUCAGAAGUAACACAAGAUUGUACAAAAGGAUAGAUAUGGGAGUCAGGAGCACCAGAGCACUUCAAAAAAGAUGCAACCUGGAGGAAAACCUGCUAGCACUUUUGAAUAAGUUUGGAAGUUUAUAAAGUUUGAAAUUGAUCUUUACAAUGCAUUUUGCAUGUAAAUUUGUCCAUGACACUCCAUGAUAAAAAUUAAAUAUCACAUUGGAAGCAUCA